rnacentral:rRNA from 1 species
UGGGGAAUAUUGGACAAUGGGCGCAAGCCUGAUCCAGCCAUGCCGCGUGAGUGAUGAAGGCCCUAGGGUUGUAAAGCUCUUUCACCGGUGAAGAUAAUGACGGUAACCGGAGAAGAAGCCCCGGCUAACUUCGUGCCAGCAGCCGCGGUAAUACGAAGGGGGCUAGCGUUGUUCGGAUUUACUGGGCGUAAAGCGCACGUAGGCGGACUUUUAAGUCAGAGGUGAAAUCCCGGGGCUCAACCCCGGAACUGCCUUUGAUACUGGAAGUCUUGAGUAUGGUAGAGGUGAGUGGAAUUCCGAGUGUAGAGGUGAAAAUCGUAGAUAUUCGGAGGAACACCAGUGGCGAAGGCGGCUCACUGGACCAUUACUGACGCUGAGGUGCGAAAGCGUGGGGAGCAAACAGG